rnacentral:sRNA from 1 species
GAUGCCAGGGUCAAAAGGUCUAAGCCCACAUGAGCUUGCUCAUGAGUGGGUGAAAGACCUUAGGACCCGCCCCGAUAUGAGCAUAAAAGUGGGAUGAUAAUCCCACGAUAUGCGAAUAGAGGGUAGGGUGCUAUGUGCCAGUGGCACAUGUUUAGCACGGACCGAAGCGGAGCGGAGAAGUGGGAGUGCGUAGCACGGAACAAUCCGCAGGCAUC